AGAAUUUAGCUGCGCCACCUUUACAUAUUGUUACUAACCUAAGCCCUAACGACAUAUUAGAAGGCCACAACACGGAGGAGUUAGUUAACCUAAUUUUGCUGUUAUUUAAUUCCCCUUUAUCCGUUGGAGGUCAACUUGUCAGCGGCAACAAAGAAACGUUGGAGAAAAUGGAAAAAUCCUAUGCGUCCUCUUAUUUUGAAGAAAGUGCUCAAAAGUCAGGAUUCUCUUUAAAUAUUGUAACUUCCUCUUCUAUUUCCACCG